GUCGGACGCAUACAUCUGAUAUUUUGGUUGGUCGUAUAUAUCUGUUCUUUUUGGUCGGUCGCAUAUAUUUGUUUUGCUGGUCCAUAGUAUUCAUCUGGUUUUUUUUUAUCCACAGUAUAAAUCUGUUUCUUUUUGGCGGAUGUAUACAUUUGCCUUUGUUGGUUGGACGUAUACAUCUGUUUAGUUAGUUGGUAUCAUUGAGGCAUAGCG
rnacentral:lncRNA from 1 species